rnacentral:rRNA from 1 species
ACCUUUGGCGUGCUUAACACAUGCAAGUCGAGCGGUAAGGCCCUUCGGGGUACACGAGCGGCGAACGGGUGAGUAACACGUGGGUGAUCUGCCUCGCACUCUGGUAUAAGCCUGGGAAACUGGGUCUAAUACCGGAUAUGACCACGGGAUGCAUGUCUUGUGGUGGAAAGGUUUACUGGUGCGAGAUGGGCCCGCGGCCUAUCAGCUUGUUGGUGAGGUAACGGCCCACCAAGGCGACGACGGGUAGCCGGCCUGAGAGGGCGAACGGCCACACUGGGACUGAGACACGGCCCAGACUCCUACGGGAGGCAGCAGUGGGGAAUAUUGCACAAUGGGCGAAAGCCUGAUGCAGCGACGCCGCGUGAGGGACGACGGCCUUCGGGUUGUAAACCUCUUUCGACAGGGACGAAGCGAGAGUGACGGUACCUGUAUAAGAAGCACCGGCCAACUACGUGCCAGCAGCCGCGGUAAUACGUAGGGUGCGAGCGUUGUCCGGAAUUACUGGGCGUAAAGAGCUUGUAGGCGGUUCGUCGCGUCGAUCGUGAAAACUUGCAGCUCAACUGCGAGCUUGCGGUCGAUACGGGCGGACUAGAGUACUUCAGGGGAGACUGGAAUUCCUGGUGUAGCGGUGAAAUGCGCAGAUAUCAGGAGGAACACCCGGUGGCGAAAGGCGGGUCUCUGGGAAGUAACUUGACGCUUAAGAAGCGAAAACCUUGGGUAGCCGAACAGGAUUAGAUACCCUGGUAGUUCCACCGCCGUAAAC